rnacentral:rRNA from 1 species
AGUGAACGCUGGCGGUAGGCCUAACGCAUGCAAGUCGAACGGCAGCACAGUAAGAGCUUGCUCUUACGGGUGGCGAGUGGCGGACGGGUGAGGAAUACAUCGGAAUCUACUUUUUCGUGGGGGAUAACGUAGGGAAACUUACGCUAAUACCGCAUACGACCUACGGGUGAAAGCAGGGGAUCUUCGGACCUUGCGCGAUUGAAUGAGCCGAUGUCGGAUUAGCUAGUUGGCGGGGUAAAGGCCCACCAAGGCGACGAUCCGUAGCUGGUCUGAGAGGAUGAUCAGCCACACUGGAACUGAGACACGGUCCAGACUCCUACGGGAGGCAGCAGUGGGGAAUAUUGGACAAUGGGCGCAAGCCUGAUCCAGCCAUACCGCGUGGGUGAAGAAGGCCUUCGGGUUGUAAAGCCCUUUUGUUGGGAAAGAAAAGCAGCAGGUUAAUACCCCGCUGUUCUGACGGUACCCAAAGAAAUAGCACCGGCUAACUUCGUG